rnacentral:rRNA from 1 species
UACAGAGGGUGCAAGCGUUGUUCGGAAUUAUUGGGCGUGAAGGGCGCGUAGGCGGUGCGGUAAGUCACCUGUGAAACCUCUGGGCUUAACUCAGAGCCUGCAGGCGAAACUGCCGUGCUUGAGUGUGGGAGAGGUGCGUGGAAUUCCCGGUGUAGCGGUGAAAUGCGUAGAUAUCGGGAGAAACACCUGUGGCGAAAGCGGAGCACUGGACCACAACUGACGCUGAGGCGCGAAAGCUAGGGGAGCAAACAGG